rnacentral:rRNA from 1 species
AUUGAACGCUGGCGGCAGGCCUAACACAUGCAAGUCGAACGAGUGGCGGACGGGUGAGUAAUGUCUGGGAAACUGCCCGAUGGAGGGGGAUAACUAGUGGAAACAGGAGCUAAUACCGCAUCACAGCGGAUGGACCCAGAUGGGAUUAGCUAGUAGGUGGGGGAACGGCUCACAUAGGCGACGAUCACUAGCUGUUCUGAGAGGAUGACCAGCAACACUGGAACUGAGACACGGUCCAGACGCCUACGGGAGGCAGCAGUGGGGAAUAUUGCACAAUGGGCGCAAGCCUGAUGCAGCAAUGCCGCGUGUAUGAAGAAGGCCUUCGGGUUGUAAAGUACUUUCAGCGAGGAGGCGUUACUCGCAGAAGAAGCACCGGCUAACUCCGUGCCAGCAGCCGCGGUAAUAC